UACGGAAGGCAGCAGUGGGGAAUAUUGCACAAUGGGCGAAAGCCUGAUGCAGCUAUGCCGCGUGUAUGAAGAAGGCCUUAGGGUUGUAAAGUACUUUCAUCGGGGAGGAAAAACAAAACUAAUAAUUUUAUUUCUUGACGUUACCCGAAAAAGAAGCACCGGCUAACUCCGUGCCAGCAGCCGCGGUAAUACGGAGGGUGCUAGCGUUAAUCAGAAUUACUGGGCGUAAAGAGCACGUAGGUGGUUUUUUUAAGUCAGAUGUGAAAUCCCUGGGCUUAACCUGGAACUGCAUUUUGAAACUGAAAUACUAGAGUAUCGUAGAGGGAGGUAGAAUUCUAGGUGUAGCGGUGAAAUGCGUAGAUAUCUGGAGGAAUACCUGUGGCGAAAGCGGCCUCCUAAACGAAUACUGACACUGAGGUGCGAAAGCGUGGGGAACAAACAGGGAUUAGAUACC
rnacentral:rRNA from 1 species